rnacentral:SRP_RNA from 1 species
CUGUGCUAGAUGGGGAGUUAGCGGUUUCCUGUAACCUGAAAUCCGCUUAUGCAGGAUUGAAUUCCGGAGGGAGGGUUCUGCUGAGAUUUAAAGAAUUAUAUAAGUGGUAUUGAAAUAAUCAGCUCUGCGCAAUAGUUUUUGAUUGAAAUCCGUCAGAUCUGGAAAGAAGCAGCGGUAGGUUAAAAUUCUAUGUGCCGNAGAUUUACUGAUUAUGAGCUAACUGUAUAGUUNUUUUUUUCUAACAGAGUAUUCAACUUUCGGUGCACAG